rnacentral:misc_RNA from 1 species
ACUUGAUUAGAGAGAGAAACUCUACCCUUUUUCGUUUCCGAUUUCUCGAGAGCCAGUCUCUGUCGUUUGCCUUCUAGAAGCUAUCUCCUGCUCGGAAGUGUAAACAGGUUUCGGGCUGUUUUUUGUGUAGUUGCUGUAGAAUUAGGCUAAAUGGAGAGGGAUCAUAGUGUUUCCUGUGUGGUUGAUGUUUUGACAGAGGUAGGAGGAUGGUUGCUGCCGUUUGAAGGUAGGGUGCAAUGGGGUGCCGACAAUCCAGAUCAUCGUUACCCUCUGUUAUUUGUGAGUGUGGUGGCUGCUCCUCUUGAUCUCAUGGCUUUUAUUUGCUUUUGGCCCAUGGCUCUAGCCUUGCUUUAGGGUGCACCCUUCUCUAUUUGCAUUUUUAGUGGUCUGAGGAAAAGUUUUCUCAUA